rnacentral:tRNA from 2 species
GGAAUUGUGCCUGAACUAAAGGAUCACUUUGAUAGAGUGAAUAAUGAGGGUUAAAGCCCCUCCAAUUCCU